GUAACGCGUAGGUAACCUGCCUUGUAGCGGGGGAUAACUAUUGGAAACGAUAGCUAAUACCGCAUAACAAUGGAUGACACAUGUCAUUUAUUUGAAAGGGGCAAUUGCUCCACUACAAGAUGGACCUGCGUUGUAUUAGCUAGUAGGUGAGGUAAUGGCUCACCUAGGCGACGAUACAUAGCCGACCUGAGAGGGUGAUCGGCCACACUGGGACUGAGACACGGCCCAGACUCCUACGGGAGGCAGCAGUAGGGAAUCUUCGGCAAUGGGGGCAACCCUGACCGAGCAACGCCGCGUGAGUUAAGAAGGUUUUCGGAUCGUAAAGCUCUGUUGUAAGUCAAGAACGGGUGUGAGAGUGGAAAGUUCACACUGUGACGGUAGCUUACCAGAAAGGGACGGCUAAC
rnacentral:rRNA from 1 species